GCUUCAAAGGAACAGUACGUAGUUCAGUUACAUCACCUCAUUAAAAUGUAUAAAAUGUUUAUUUACCAAACCCUAUAACAGGUUUGAUGUCCACAUGCUUAACAUUUUAACCCCUUAAGGACACAUGACAGAAAUAUUCUGUCAUGAUUCCCUUUUAUUCCAGAAGUUGUGUUUUUAAGGGGUUAAGAGGUUAGUUUGAAUAUAGUUAUGGUGGUAUAAUGCUCAGAGAAAUUAUCUUUAAAAUCCAUGAAGGUCAGGCUUAAACAUUGUUCGCUGGAUGAAUUUUUCAACCAUUGCCCUUGAUGUGGGCUUGUUUCCCAGGCAU